GGCCAGUGUGGUGUAGUGGUUUGAGUAUUGGGCUCUGGCUCUGGAGAACAGGGUUCAAAUCCCAGCUUGGCCA